rnacentral:rRNA from 1 species
CCUACGGGAGGCAGCAGUAGGGAAUCUUCCACAAUGGGCGAAAGCCUGAUGGAGCAACGCCGCGUGGGUGAAGAAGGUCUUCCGAUCGUAAAACCCUGUUGUUAGAGAAGCAAGUUCGUGAGAGUAACUGUUCACGUUUCGACGUUAUCUAACCAGAAAGCCACGGCUAAAUACGUGCCAGCAGCCGCGGGAAUACGUAGGUGGCAAGCGUUAUCCGGAUUGAUUGGGCGUAAAGGGAACGCAGGCGGGCGGUUAAGUCUGAUGUCAAAGCCUUCGGCUUAACCGGAGUAGUGCAUUGGAAACUGGGAGACUGGAGUGCAGAAGAGGAGGGUGGAA